AGUCUUAUAUUCAUGGAAUGAUUAUAGAAUGCAAUUCUAUAGGAGUAGAUAAACUACUAAGACUU
rnacentral:tRNA from 1 species